UAAUAAUCAACGGAGUCCAAACAACAAUCUUUUAAUUCCGUUUCUUCCGCCGCUUCCCCACCACGCGCUGUUUCCUCGCAAGUCCCGAUGCUCAUGCCACCGACCUAUCGCGUAUUGCGGUUCGACGGCCCCCGUCAACCCCCUCCGAGCCGUCAGAUCCCCGUCCACCUACUCACACGACCUCCAUCCCGUCCGUCCGUCUGACCUCGCCGCCUAACGCGCUGCCGUGACCCAAGCGGAAACGUCCACGUCGGCGGCCGUCACGUGCCGUCGGGCCGCCACGUCGAGACAAGAAAGCGGCCGCGUUAGCUCAUUCCCGGCUUUGUCGGCGAGGGUCGUCGUGUCGGCCUCUCCGACCGACACCCGCCAUCCGGACUCCCAGAUUCCUGUGCCCCUUAUCUCCUCCCUCGGUCUUCCUCCAUCUAACGUCCGUUAUUUC
rnacentral:lncRNA from 1 species